ensembl:snRNA U6 U6 spliceosomal RNA
GUGCUCACUUUGGUGGCAAAUAUACUAAAAUUGGAACAAUACAGAGAAAAUCAGCAUGGCCCUAUGCAAGGAUGGUGCUCAAAUUUGUGAAAUGUUCCAUAUUGAA